rnacentral:ncRNA from 1 species
UGAUGGUAGAGGCGCGAGGUUCAUCAGUAAGCUGUCUAAUGUCUUAGAACAAGUGCGGACAGCGGAAAGGGGACAUCGCCGAAGGUUUGCGGAUGUCUAAGCUCCGUGCUCCUGGGCAUACGGUCAAGAGCCGUAUGACUGUCAUCGAAAGAUGGAGUGCUACUUGUUG